AAUCCAUAGGUUAAUGAGGCGAACCGGGGGAACUGAAACAUCUAAGUACCCCGAGGAAAAGAAAUCAACCGAGAUUCCCCCAGUAGCGGCGAGCGAACGGGGAGGAGCCCAGAGCCUGAAUCAGCAUGUGUGUUAGUGGAAGCGUCUGGAAAGGCGCGCGAUACAGGGUGACAGCCCCGUACACAAAAGCGCAUGUGCUGUGAGCUCGAUGAGUAGGGCGGGACACGUGGUAUCCUGUCUGAAUAUGGGGGGACCAUCCUCCAAGGCUAAAUACUCCUGACUGACCGAUAGUGAACCAGUACCGUGAGGGAAAGGCGAAAAGAACCCCGGCGAGGGGAGUGAAAAAGAACCUGAAACCGUGUACGUACAAGCAGUGGGAGCCCCACCACCAAAGCAUUUGCUGUACCGCGUUGACGGAGCGAAGCGACGUCAAACCGAUAAAACAGCAGUGUAAAGU
rnacentral:rRNA from 2 species